rnacentral:rRNA from 1 species
GCAGUCGAGCGCCCCGCAAGGGGAGCGGCAGACGGGUGAGUAACGCGUGGGAAUCUACCGUGCCCUACGGAAUAGCUCCGGGAAACUGGAAUUAAUACCGUAUACGCCCUACGGGGGAAAAGAUUUAUCGGGGUAUGAUGAGCCCGCGUUGGAUUAGCUAGUUGGUGGGGUAAAGGCCUACCAAGGCGACGAUCCAUAGCUGGUCUGAGAGGAUGAUCAGCCACAUUGGGACUGAGACACGGCCCAAACUCCUACGGGAGGCAGCAGUGGGGAAUAUUGGACAAUGGGCGCAAGCCUGAUCCAGCCAUGCCGCGUGAGUGAUGAAGGUCUUAGGAUUGUAAAGCUCUUUCACCGAUGAAGAUAAUGACGGUAGUCGGAGAAGAAGCCCCGGCUAACUUCGUGCCAGCAGCCGCGGUAAUACGAAGGGGGCUAGCGUUGUUCGGAAUUACUGGGCGUAGAGCGCAUGUAGGCGGAUAUUUAAGUCAGGUGUGAGAUCCCGCAGCUCAACUGCGGAACUGCCUUUGAUA